rnacentral:rRNA from 1 species
UACAGAGGUCCCGAGCGUUGUUCGGAUUCAUUGGGCGUAAAGGGUGCGUAGGCGGCGAGGUAAGUCUGAUGUGAAAUCCCGGGGGCUCAACCCCCGGAACUGCAUUGGAUACUGCCUUGCUUGAGUACUGGAGAGGGAACUGGAACUUCCGGUGGAGCGGUGAAAUGCGUUGAGAUCGGAAGGAACGCCCGUGGCCGAAAAGCGAGGUCCUGGACCGCCAUCGUGACGCUGAGACGCGAAAGCCAGGGGAGCGAACGGGG